AACGAACGCUGGCGGCAGGCUUAACACAUGCAAGUCGAACGGGUGUAGCAAUACAUCAGUGGCAGACGGGUGAGUAACACGUGGGAACCUUCCUAGGGGUACGGAACAACUCAGGGAAACUUGAACUAAUACCGUAUACGUCCGUGAGGAGAAAGAUUUAUCGCCCUUAGACGGGCCCGCGUCGGAUUAGCUAGUUGGUGGGGUAACGGCCUACCAAGGCGACGAUCCGUAGCUGAUCUGAGAGGAUGAUCAGCCACACUGGGACUGAGACACGGCCCAGACUCCUACGGGAGGCAGCAGUGGGGAAUCUUGGACAAUGGGCGCAAGCCUGAUCCAGCCAUGCCGCGUGAGUGAAGAAGGCCUUCGGGUUGUAAAGCUCUUUUGUCAGGGACGAUAAUGACGGUACCUGAAGAAUAAGCCCCGGCAAACUUCGUGCCAGCCGCCGCGGUAAUAC
rnacentral:rRNA from 1 species